rnacentral:rRNA from 1 species
UACGUAGGUGGCAAGCGUUGUCCGGAUUUACUGGGCGUAAAGAGCGCGCAGGCGGUCGUCCAAGUCGCGUGUGAAAGCCCCCGGCUCAACUGGGGAGGGUCACGCGAUACUGGUCGACUCGAAGGCAGGAGAGGGUAGUGGAAUUCCCGGUGUAGUGGUGAAAUGCGUAGAUAUCAGGAAGAACACCCGUGGCUAAGGCGGCUCUCUAGUACGGUACUGACGCUGAGGAGCGAAAGCAUGGGUAGCGAACAGG